UUAUUUUCGGACGGGAGAAUAACUCGUGGGUAACCUGCCUGUAAGACUGGGAUAACUCCGGGAAACCGGGGCUAAUACCGGAUGGUUGUUUGAACCGCAUGGUUCAAACAUAAAAGGUGGCUUCGGCUACCACUUACAGAUGGACCCGCGGCGCAUUAGCUAGUUGGUGAGGUAACGGCUCACCAAGGCGACGAUGCGUAGCCGACCUGAGAGGGUGAUCGGCCACACUGGGACUGAGACACGGCCCAAACUCCUACGGGAGGCAGCGAGCUUAGGGAAGUCAUCCAGCAAUGGACGAAAGUGCUGACGGAGCAACGCCGCGUGAGAGAUGAAGCUUAUCGAAUCGGUAAAGCUCUGUUGUUAGGGAAGAACAAGUGCCGUUCAAAUAGGGCGGCAACUUGAACGGUACCUAACCAGAACAGCGCACGGCUAACUACGUGCCACCAGCCGCAGUAAUACGUAGCUGGCAAGCGAUAGUACAGAAUUAUCGGGCAUAAACGGCUCGCAGGCGGUUUCUUAAGUAUGAUGUGAAAGCCCCCGGCUCAACCGGGGGAGGGUCAUUGAGAAAACUGGGGAACUUGAGUGCAGAAGGAGGAGAGUAGCACUUCCACGUGUAGCGGUGAAAUUGCGUAGAGAUGUGGAAGAACACCAGUGGACGACAGCGACCUCUCUCGUCUGUAACCUGACGCUGAGGAGCUGAAAGCGCUGGGGGAGUCGAACAGUGAUUCAAAUAGCCGUGGCUACCCCACGCUCGUAAACAAUUGAGCUGCUACAGUGUUGAAGGGGCUUUCCGCCCCCCUUCAGUGCCGUCCAGUUAACGCAAUAUAGCACAUGCCGCCGUCGCGCGAGAUACGAGUGCGCAAGGACUGAUCAACAUUCAAAAGAUAUAAUGACGCGCGCCCGCCCAGCACAGCGUGUCGACGCAAUGAUGGUCUUGAAUAAUAGCGAAGCCAACACGAAAAACAUAUUACCAGGGGCUUGCGAGACAUCCUCAUGACAAUCCUAGCAGUAUAAGGUACGUCGCUCCGUCAAGAGGACCAAACAGAGAUUGACACGUGGAGCAUGGUUCUUCCCUCAGACACGUGAACGUGUUAAAUGUAGAGAAUAACGUCCACACAACAAGCGGCAACCCUUUGAUUCUUAGUUGCCAGCAUCUCACUUUGUGGACACUCCAAUGGUGACGUCCCCGUGACAAACCGGAGCAAGGUGGGGAUGACGUCAACACCAUUCAUGCCCCUUAUGACCUGGGCUACACACGUGCUACAAUGGACAGAACAAAGGGCAGCGAAACCGCGAGGUUAAGCCAAUCCCACAAAUCUGUUCUCAGUUCGGAUCGCAGUCUGCAACUCGACUGCGUGAAGCUGGAAUCGCUAGUAAUCGCGGAUCAGCAUGCCGCGGUGAAUACGUUCCCGGGCCUUGUACACACCGCCCGUCACGCCACGAAAGAUAAAACUCCUGAUGUUCGUGCGGUAAAAGUCGUCACACAUAACUCUAGAGUGUAACC
rnacentral:rRNA from 1 species